GACGAACGCUGGCGGCGUGCCUAAUACAUGCAAGUUGAGCGCUGAAGUUUUGUACUUGUACCAACUGGUUGAGCAGCGAACGGGUGAGUAACGCGUGGGGAAUCUGCCUUUGAUCGGGGGACAACAUUUGGAAACGAAUGCUAAUACCGCAUAAAAACUUUAAACACAAGUUUUAAGUUUGAAAUAUGCAAUUUCAUCACUCAAAGAUUAUCCCGCGUUGUAUUAGCUAGUUGGUGAGGUAAAGGCUCACCAAGGCGAUGAUACAUAGCCGACCUGAGAGGGUGAUCGGCAACAUUGGGACGGAGAAACGGCACAAACACCUACGGGAGGCAGCAGUAGGGAAUCUUCGGCAAUGGACGAAAGUAUGACAGAGCAACGCCGAGUGAGUGAAGAAGGUUUUGGGAUCGUAAAACUCUGUUGGUAGAGAAGAAAGAGGGUGAGAGUGGAAAGAUAAUGAAGUGACGGAAACUAAAAAGAAAGGGACGGCAAACUACGU
rnacentral:rRNA from 1 species